rnacentral:rRNA from 1 species
CGGGAGGCAGCAGUGGGGAAUAUUGCACAAUGGGCGAAAGCCUGAUGCAGCGACGCCGCGUGAGGGAUGACGGCCUUCGGGUUGUAAACCUCUUUCGACAGGGACGAAGCGCAAGUGACGGUACCUGUAGAAGAAGCACCGGCCAACUACGUGCCAGCAGCCGCGGUAAUACGUAGGGUGCGAGCGUUGUCCGGAAUUACUGGGCGUAAAGAGCUUGUAGGCGGUUUGUCGCGUCGUCCGUGAAAACUUGGGGCUCAACCCCAAGCUUGCGGGCGAUACGGGCAGACUUGAGUACUGCAGGGGAGACUGGAAUUCCUGGUGUAGCGGUGAAAUGCGCAGAUAUCAGGAGGAACACCGGUGGCGAAGGCGGGUCUCUGGGCAGUAACUGACGCUGAGAAGCGAAAGCGUGGGUAGCGAACAGGAUUAGAUACCCUGGUAGUCCACGCCGUAAACGGUGGGCGCUAGGUGUGGGUUUCCUUCCACGGGAUCCGUGCCGUAGCUAACGCAUUAAGCGCCCCGCCUGGGGAGUACGGCCGCAAGGCUAAAACUCAAAGGAAUUGACGGGGGCCCGCACAAGCGGCGGAGCAUGUGGAUUAAUUCGAUGCAACGCGAAGAACCUUACCUGGGUUUGACAUACACCGGAAACCUGCAGAGAUGUAGGCCCCCUUGUGGUCGGUGUACAGGUGGUGCAUGGCUGUCGUCAGCUCGUGUCGUGAGAUGUUGGGUUAAGUCCCGCAACGAGCGCAACCCUUGUCCUGUGUUGCCAGCGCGUUAUGGCGGGGACUCGCAGGAGACUGCCGGGGUCAACUCGGAGGAAGGUGGGGACGACGUCAAGUCAUCAUGCCCCUUAUGUCCAGGGCUUCACACAUGCUACAAUGGCCGGUACAGAGGGCUGCGAUACCGUGAGGUGGAGCGAAUCCCUUAAAGCCGGUCUCAGUUCGGAUCGGGGUCUGCAACUCGACCCCGUGAAGUUGGAGUCGCUA